UCUCUCUCUCUCUCUCUCUCUCUCUGUGGCCCUUUUCUUAGGGUUUCUUCGAUUAUUCGACCGCAAAAGAGAAAGGCAUAAGCAUCACUGCAUCAAGAUCGUCAUCGUAUUUUGUUAUGUGGCGUGUUCUAGAUUUGGGGAUUAGUGGUAAGCAUGAAAAUUUGAAAUUUGAGGGUUGCGUUUAGCCUUUAUAUACUUCCCCAUGCACCGUUUCUCUCUUCCUUCACCAUCAGUGGCAGCCUCUUCAACCCAGUCAAUCCAGCCCGUCGUCCCUGCCUGUUGCCCACUGUAAGUCAAUCCAGCCGAGAUUCACAUUUUUUCCGUUUUCUAGCAUUUUUCUUAAAUUUGCAUGUAUUCAUUUCUUAGGUUAACAGACAAAUAUGUUAGGCUUUAUUUGUUCUUGAAUUAUAUUGACUAAAUUAGCUAAA